rnacentral:rRNA from 2 species
AGCGGGGUUUUAAAAGCUUGCUUUUAAAACUUUAGCGGCGGACGGGUGAGUAACACGUGGGCAACCUGCCUGUAAGACUGGGAUAACACCGGGAAACCGGUGCUAAUACCGGAUAAUCCUUUCUGACACAUGUCGGGAAGCUGAAAGACGGUUUCGGCUGUCACUUACAGAUGGGCCCGCGGCGCAUUAGCUAGUUGGUGAGGUAAUGGCUCACCAAGGCAACGAUGCGUAGCCGACCUGAGAGGGUGAUCGGCCACACUGGGACUGAGACACGGCCCAGACUCCUACGGGAGGCAGCAGUAGGGAAUCUUCCGCAAUGGACGAAAGUCUGACGGAGCAACGCCGCGUGAGCGAAGAAGGCCUUCGGGUCGUAAAGCUCUGUUGUCAGGGAAGAACAAGUACCGGAGUAACUGCCGGUACCUUGACGGUACCUGACCAGAAAGCCACGGCUAACUACGUGCCAGCAGCCGCGGUAAUACGUAGGUGGCAAGCGUUGUCCGGAAUUAUUGGGCGUAAAGCGCGCGCAGGCGGUCCUUUAAGUCUGAUGUGAAAGCCCACGGCUCAACCGUGGAGGGUCAUUGGAAACUGGGGGACUUGAGUGCAGAAGAGGAGAGCGGAAUUCCACGUGUAGCGGUGAAAUGCGUAGAGAUGUGGAGGAACACCAGUGGCGAAGGCGGCUCUCUGGUCU